UGCUUACAGAAGCAGGGUUUACAAGUUUCCAGCAACUUCUGCCGUUUCUUCUUUAAGAGGGAUCUACUCAUUGGUCCUUUAGAUGGCCUGACACCUUGCCAGGGCUCCACCCACUCUCCUGUCACCAGCAAUGCUACCCUCAACAGCACCACCAGCUCUGUCACUACCCUGAAGUCACUGCCUAACAGACAAAGGGCUCUUGCUGCCGUCCACAGCAUUGUGUACUUCCUGCUCCUGAGCCUCAUGGAACAAGUCAAGGCCACAGACAAAGAUUCAAGAGCAUCU